GCCAGGCAUAGUGGCAUGUGCCUGUAGUCCCAGGUACUCAGGAGGCUGAGGCUGGAGGAUCCCUUGAGUCCAGGAGUUCUGGGCUAUAGUGCGCUGUGCCGAUCAGGUGUCUGCACUAAGUUCGGCAUCAAUAUGGUGACCUCCUGAGAGCAGGGGACCACCAGUUUGCUGAACCAAGGGGUAAACUGGCCCAUGUCGGAAAUGGAGCAGGUCAGAACUUCUGUGCUGAUCAGUAGUGGGAUUGUGCCUAUGAAUAGCCACUGUACUCCAGCCUGGGCAACAUAGUGAGACCCUGUCUCU
rnacentral:SRP_RNA from 1 species